CAAAGCGUAGCUUAAUUAAAGCCUCUCGCUUACACCGAGAAUAUAUCUGUUAAACCCAGAUCACUUUGA
rnacentral:tRNA from 1 species